rnacentral:rRNA from 1 species
CGACGCUGCGGCGUGCCUAAUACAUGCAAGUCGUACGCUUCUUUUUCCACCGGAGCUUGCUCCACCGGAAAAAGAGGAGUGGCGAACGGGUGAGUAACACGUGGGUAACCUGCCCAUCAGAAGGGGAUAACACUUGGAAACAGGUGCUAAUACCGUAUAACAAUCGAAACCGCAUGGUUUUGAUUUGAAAGGCGCUUUCGGGUGUCGCUGAUGGAUGGACCCGCGGUGCAUUAGCUAGUUGGUGAGGUAACGGCUCACCAAGGCCACGAUGCAUAGCCGACCUGAGAGGGUGAUCGGCCACAUUGGGACUGAGACACGGCCCAAACUCCUACGGGAGGCAGCAGUAGGGAAUCUUCGGCAAUGGACGAAAGUCUGACCGAGCAACGCCGCGUGAGUGAAGAAGGUUUUCGGAUCGUAAAACUCUGUUGUUAGAGAAGAAUAAGGAUGAGAGUAACUGUUCAUCCCUUGACGGUAUCUAACCAGAAAGCCACGGCUAACUACGUGCCAGCAGCCGCGGUAAUACGUAGGUGGCAAGCGUUGUCCGGAUUUAUUGGGCGUAAAGCGAGCGCAGGCGGUUUCUUAAGUCUGAUGUGAAAGCCCCCGGCUCAACCGGGGAGGGUCAUUGGAAACUGGGAGACUUGAGUGCAGAAGAGGAGAGUGGAAUUCCAUGUGUAGCGGUGAAAUGCGUAGAUAUAUGGAGGAACACCAGUGGCGAAGGCGGCUCUCUGGUCUGUAACUGACGCUGAGGCUCGAAAGCGUGGGGAGCAAACAGGAUUAGAUACCCUGGUAGUCCACGCCGUAAACGAUGAGUGCUAAGUGUUGGAGGGUUUCCGCCCUUCAGUGCUGCAGCUAACGCAUGAAGCACUCCGCCUG